rnacentral:pre_miRNA from 1 species
UUUUUAGCAUAAGUAUAUCCCAUGUGAGAUUUAGGACAUACUUAUGCUGAAA